AUAUGCAACGCGUGACAGGACUAAGCAACUCAGAUCAUUCAAGAGAAAGAUAAUGGAUGCUUUAACUACCAAAAAAA